rnacentral:rRNA from 1 species
GCAGUCGAGCGGCAGCACAGAGAGCUUGCUCUCGGGUGACGAGCGGCGGACGGGUGAGUAAUGUCUGGGAAACUGCCUGAUGGAGGGGGAUAACUACUGGAAACGGUAGCUAAUACCGCAUAACGUCGCAAGACCAAAGUGGGGGACCUUCGGGCCUCAUGCCAUCAGAUGUGCCCAGAUGGGAUUAGCUAGUAGGUGGGGUAAUGGCUCACCUAGGCGACGAUCCCUAGCUGGUCUGAGAGGAUGACCAGCCACACUGGAACUGAGACACGGUCCAGACUCCUACGGGAGGCAGCAGUGGGGAAUAUUGCACAAUGGGCGCAAGCCUGAUGCAGCCAUGCCGCGUGUGUGAAGAAGGCCUUCGGGUUGUAAAGCACUUUCAGCGGGGAGGAAGGCGUUAAGGUUAAUAACCUUGGCGAUUGACGUUACCCGCAGAAGAAGCACCGGCUAACUCCGUGCCAGCAGCCGCGGUAAUACGGAGGGUGCAAGCGUUAAUCGGAAUUACUGGGCGUAAAGCGCACGCAGGCGGUCUGUCAAGUCGGAUGUGAAAUCCCCGGGCUCAACCUGGGAACUGCAUUCGAAACUGGCAGGCUAGAGUCUUGUAGAGGGGGGUAGAAUUCCAGGUGUAGCGGUGAAAUGCGUAGAGAUCUGGAGGAAUACCGGUGGCGAAGGCGGCCCCCUGGACAAAGACUGACGCUC